rnacentral:rRNA from 1 species
GAUGAACGCUGGCGGCGUGCCUAAUACAUGCAAGUCGAGCGAACAGACGAGGAGCUUGCUCCUCUGACGUUAGCGGCGGACGGGUGAGUAACACGUGGAUAACCUACCUAUAAGACUGGGAUAACUUCGGGAAACCGGAGCUAAUACCGGAUAAUAUAUUGAACCGCAUGGUUCAAUAGUGAAAGACGGUUUUGCUGUCACUUAUAGAUGGAUCCGCGCCGCAUUAGCUAGUUGGUAAGGUAACGGCUUACCAAGGCAACGAUGCGUAGCCGACCUGAGAGGGUGGUCGGCCACACGGGAACUGAGCCACGGUCCAGACGCCUACGGGAGGCAGCAGUAGGGAAUCGUCCGCAAUGGGCGAAAGCCUGACGGAGCAACGCCGCGUGAGUGAUGAAGGUCUUCGGAUCGUAAAACUCUGUUAUUAGGGAAGAACAAAUGUGUAAGUAACUAUGCACGUCUUGACGGUACCUAAUCAGAAAGCCACGGCUAACUACGUG